AAUAGAUACCCUGGUAGUCCACGCCCUAAACGAUGUCUACUAGUUGUCGGGGAUUAAUUUCCUUGGUAACGCAGCUAACGCGGGAAGUAGACCGCCUGGGGAGUACGGUCGCAAGAUUAAAACUCAAAGGAAUUGACGGGGACCCGCACAAGCGGUGGAUGAUGUGGAUUAAUUCGAUGCAACGCGAAAAACCUUACCUACGCUUGACAUGUCCGGAAUCCUGCAGAGAUGUGGGAGUACCCGAAAGGGAGCCGGAACACAGGUGCUGCAUGGCUGUCGUCAGCUCGUGUCGUGAGAUGUUGGGUUAAGUCCCGCAACGAGCGCAACCCUUAUCAUUAGUUGCUACGCAAGGGCACUCUAAUGAGACUGCCGGUGACAAACCGGAGGAAGGUGGGGAUGACGUCAAGUCCUCAUGGCCCUUAUGCGUAGGGCUUCACACGUCAUACAAUGGUCGGUACAGAGGGCUGCCAACCCGCGAGGGGGAGCCAAUCCCACAAAACCCGAUCGUAGUCCGGAUUGCAGUCUGCAACUCGACUGC
rnacentral:rRNA from 1 species